CAGAAUUAAAUCAUAUAUCCCAAAACCCGAUUGGAAAAUCCAUUAGAAACAUGAGUUGAACCAAAGCAGGAUCAGGUUUAAAGUUUUUGGGCCGGUUAUUGAUAUGGAGUUUAGGAGAGAGAAAACAAAACACCUUCUCCCCUUCGUUGCUAUGCAAUCACAGCGCCACUCUCCUCCCUCCCUCUCUCUUACGGUUUCCGAUCAUUUCCUCGGCCAGAAGGAACAGCGAGAAAGACCCUAGCUUCUUUCCAAGCCUUCUCCUCCAUUUGUUGUCAAUGGUGUAGCUUCUUAUCACCGGAGAUGGCGUCCUCAAGGUGCUGUGACUAUAACAGCCAUUAAUUCAGGCGACCUUAAGUUUCCAGGUGUAAUUAGUAUUCAGAGGAAAAUUUGACGUUAGAAUCAAAUUCCUUAUAAAAUUUCGAGCAUCUUGAUGUACAAGUUUCCGGAUUCUGAGUCGGCUCCAUUUCCAGUCACCGCCUGUGAAUUUCGACCAGCAGAGCACGAAAACGUGAAGUAGAAAGAAAUGGAGAGCUCAACGAAAGGAUUAGAGGGUACUGGCAUGAACCUGCUAGUGAAUCGCCGUAGCAACCUGAAGAGUGCUUCUAGCGAUCAAAAUCUCCUCGAAAUUCUUUCUAACAUGAAAGCUUCCAAGACUACGGCUGUUAUCAACUAUGACGCUUCAUGAUAUUGAUGAAUGUCCAGAAAUAACUCCGCAAAUUCGUUAUACACCCACAUUUCAUUUUUAUAAAAGGGUUGAUGAAAUGGUUGGUGCUGGAGAAGAGAGGCUGCAUGAUCGCUUGUGGUUGCAUGCUUGAAAUCUAUCUUGUCUUAGGACCCAUC